rnacentral:rRNA from 1 species
AUUGAACGCUAGCGGGAUGCUUUACACAUGCAAGUCGAACGAGUGGCGGACGGGUGAGUAAUGUAUGGGAACUGCCCGAUGGAGGGGGAUAACUACUGGAAACGGUAGCUAAUACCACAUACUAUCGGAUAACCCAUAUGGGAUUAGCUAGUAGGUUGGGUAAUGGCUCACCUAGGCGACGAUCCCUAGCUGGUCUGAGAGGAUGAUCAGCCACACUGGGACUGAGACACGGACCAGACUCCUACGGAGGCAGCAGUGGGGAAUAUUGCACAAUGGGCGCAAGCCUGAUGCAGCCAUGCCGCGUGUAUGAAGAAGGCCCUCGGGUUGUAAAGUACUGUCAGUCGGGAGGCGUUACCGACAGAAGAAGCACCGGCUAACUCCGUGCCAGCAGCCGCGGUAAUAC